rnacentral:rRNA from 1 species
UUCCGGUUGAUCCUGCCGGAGGCGACCGCUAUUGGAGUUCGAUUAAGACAUGCGAGUCUGAGCAUUAGCUCGGCGUACCGCUCAGUAACACGUGGGUAACCUGCCCUAUGCUGGGGAAUAACCUCGGGAAACUGAGAACAAUGCCCCAUAGCCCACUACGCCUGGAACGGUGAGUGGGUCAAAGCCCCGGCGGCAUAGGAUGGGCCUGCGCCGUAUCAGGUUGUAGGGGGUGUAAAGUACCCUCUAGCCAUCAACGCGUACGGGUGUUGGGAGGCAUUGCCCGGAGAUGGAUUCUGAGACACGAAUCCAGACCCUACGGGGUGCAGCAGGCGCGAAAACUUGGCAAUGCGAGAAAUCGUGACCAGGGAACUCCAAGUGCGUAGGGUAAGACCUACGCUUUUCUUGACUCUUCAAAGGUCUUGGAAUAAGGGGUGGGUAAGGACGGUGCCAGCCGCCGCGGUAAUACCGGCGCCUCAAGUGGUAGUCGCUUUUAUUGGGCCUAAAACGUCCGUAGCCGGUCUGGUGCAUUCGUGGGUAAAUCAACCCGCUCAACGGGUUGAAUUCUGCGAGCACGGCCAGACUUGGGACCGGGAGAGGUGUGGGGUACUCUCAGGGUAGGGGUAAAAUCCUGUCAUCCUGAGAGGACCACCUGUUGCGAAGGCGCCACACUAGAACGGAUCCGACGGUCAGGGACGAAACCUAGGGGCACGAACCGGAUUAGAUACCCGGGUAGUCCUAGGUGUAAACGCUGUGGACUUGGUGUUGGGGAAGCCCAGAGCUUUCCCAGUGCCGUAGCGAAAGGUGUUGAGUCCACUGCCUGGGGAGUACGGUCGCAAGGCUGAAACUUAAAGGAAUUGGCGGGGGAGCACUGCAACCGGGAGGAGUGUGCGGUUUAUUGGAUUCACGCCGGGA